rnacentral:rRNA from 1 species
GAUGAACGCUGGCGGCGUGCUUAACACAUGCAAGUCGAACGGUGAAGCAGAGCUUGCCCUGUGGAUCAGUGGCGAACGGGUGAGUAACACGUGAGCAACCUGCCCUGGACUCUGGGAUAAGCGCUGGAAACGGUGUCUAAUACUGGAUACGAGACGUGGCCGCAUGGUCAACGUUUGGAAAGAUUUUUUGGUUCAGGAUGGGCUCGCGGCCUAUCAGCUUGUUGGUGAGGUAAUGGCUCACCAAGGCGUCGACGGGUAGCCGGCCUGAGAGGGUGACCGGCCACACUGGGACUGAGACACGGCCCAGACUCCUACGGGAGGCAGCAGUGGGGAAUAUUGCACAAUGGGCGAAAGCCUGAUGCAGCAACGCCGCGUGGGGGAUGACGGCCUUCGGGUUGUAAACCUCUUUUAGCAAGGAAGAAGCGAAAGUGACGGUACUUGCAGAAAAAGCGCCGGCUAGCUACGUGCCAGCCGCCGCCGUAA